GAUGAACGCUAGCGGCAGGCUUAACACAUGCAAGUCGAGGGGGUAUUGGUUUUCGGACCAAGAGACCGGCGCACGGGUGCGUAACGCGUAUGCAAUCUACCUUUUGCAGAGGGAUAGCCCAGAGAAAUUUGGAUUAAUACCUCAUAGUAUAGUACUUUGGCAUCAAGGAACUAUUAAAGUCACAACGGCAAAAGAUGAGCAUGCGUCCCAUUAGCUAGUUGGUAAGGUAACGGCUUACCAAGGCUACGAUGGGUAGGGGUUCUGAGAGGGAGAUCCCCCACACUGGUACUGAGACACGGACCAGACUCCUACGGGAGGCAGCAGUGAGGAAUAUUGGUCAAUGACGCAAGUCUGAACCAGCCAUGCCGCGUGCAGGAUGACGGUCCUA
rnacentral:rRNA from 1 species